AAUUAAUAUGCCGCGUAAAAACGGUCAGACCUAUUGCCAUGCCGGUUCGACAGGCUUUUUAGCUGACAGGGCUUUUGGCUUUUUAGCCCUGUCAGUGCUAAAAACCCCAUCUAGCGACGUACAUACAUUUUUACUUUAUCGUGACACUUGUCUAAAACUCUAACAAGUGAUGUAGCAAUUGGCAUGUUAUAUUUCACUAAUUGCUAUUGAUAUUUCAUCCCUGGUAGAUGACCUUAUUGUGACACUUUUUUGUCUAAGUGAUAUUUACCAAUGGGCAUGCUAGAAUGUCACUUUCACUCAUUGGUAGCCUAUUGAUGUUUCAAUAUUCUGACAUCAUAAAUCUUUCGUCUAGCAAGUCAUGUAGGCUAUAGCAUGCUGGAAUCUCACUUUUAGUAAUUGCUAUUGGUGUUACGAAACGAGGCAAGAUUCACACAAUAUCCCCCCAUCAUCCACAGGCUUGUUGCAGUAACACACAUGUGUGUUUAUUCGCUUCUUUGUUUCAACUAAAUUCAAAUACCGACAUCCAUGCAUCUUCAUCAAACAACUUUCGGAAGUUGUCGGAUUGGAUCUUAGGAUUCUGGACGGCACUAGAAACUUGCUCCGGCAUUUGGUGUAGCAUCUCUUUGGUGAUUAACCGCUUGGAUAGAAGAACUUCCUCUGCCUUCUUGCUCCCGAUGAACCAAGUCAAGACAACUAUAAGAACAUAGUUGAUUAAUGUUUUAAAUGUUAUUAGAUGUGAAAAUUUUAUCUUACUAUGUUUCUGGUCUGAUUUCUUUUUCUUGUCGAAUGGCUUAGAAGCAUUUUUUUGGUGGUCCAGCUUUCUCGUUCCUCGUGGGCGUCCAGUGCGAUUUUUGGUGUUGGGGAGCAUUAAGAGCAUCCGAUUUCAUCCACUCUUGCUCUUUUUUGUCUUGGUUGAUCCUCCUCAACUUCUACAGUAGUCGGUGCCCCAUUCGUUCCAUAUGAAUGGUCCAAAUGAACCACUAUUACAGCAUUUUCAAUUUCAUUCGUAAUUGGAAAGACUGGAUCGCCCGAAGCUGGAACGACCGGAUCAGCCACUGCUGGAACGACCGGAUCAGCCACUGCUGGAACGACCGGAUCAGCCACUGCUGAUGGAGUUAUAAUCGGUUUUAAAUUUCUCCAAUACUUGAAGGUAUCCUUCGAAGGCUGGCAGUGGGACAUUUUGGAUUCAUUCGCCAGGCUUUUGGCCGAUUAAAGAGCUCUAUUGAACAUAUCCUCACGGGUUGUUCUAACUCUUUUUCGUCGUUGUUCAAGGACUAUUGAAGACCAAGCUCCCUGAGUUUCGUCUUGUAUCGAUUUCUGGUUUAAAUAAUGAACGGGUUGUUAAAGGUUAUUUGGUAGCAAGAUUUCCUCCUUUUCGGACAAAAAUAGUAGGUGUCUGCAGGGAAGACCAAAGUUCUGGAAAAACAUGCGUGAGAACUCGGUCAGAUCUGUUUUUGCAGUGUAGUGCCCUGUGUGACUUGCUACAAUAUAUGUUCCUGUCCUGCAA